UACGGGGGGUGCGAGCGUUGUCCGGAAUCACUGGGCGUAAAGGGCGCGUAGGUGGUUUGAUAAGGGUGUGGUGAAAGUCCGGGGCUCAACCCCGGAUCUGCCGUGCCGACUGUCAAACUCGAGGGCUGUAGAGGCAGACGGAAUUCCGGGUGUAGCGGUGGAAUGCGUAGAGAUCCGGAGGAAGACCGGUGGCGAAGGCGGUCUUCUGGGCAGUUUCUGACACUGAUGCGCGAAAGCGUGGGGAGCAAACAGG
rnacentral:rRNA from 1 species